GCCUUCUUAGUUCAGUGGUUUAGAAUUUGUCACUAGUAGUCUCGGAUCUUGCGAUUCGGUUGCUAUGACAGGGUCACCUGUUCGAUUCAGGUAGAAGGCA